rnacentral:rRNA from 1 species
UAGGGAAUAUUGGGCAAUGGAGGGAACUCUGACCCAGCCAUGCCGCGUGCAGGAUGAAGGCGUUAUGCGUUGUAAACUGCUUUUAUAUAGGAAGAAAUAGUCCUUGCGAGGAAAGUUGACGGUACUAUAUGAAUAAGCACCGGCUAACUCCGUGCCAGCAGCCGCGGUAAUACGGAGGGUGCAAGCGUUGUCCGGAUUUAUUGGGUUUAAAGGGUGCGUAGGCGGUUUAUUAAGUCAGUGGUGAAAGACGGUCGCUCAACGAUUGCAGUGCCAUUGAUACUGGUAGACUUGAGUAUGAUUGAGGUAGCUGGAAUGGAUAGUGUAGCGGUGAAAUGCAUAGAUAUUAUCCAGAACACCAAUUGCGUAGGCAAGUUACUAAGUCAUAACUGACGCUGAGGCACGAAAGUGUGGGUAUCAAACAGGAUUAGAUACCCACGUAGUCCCUGAGCGGGCUGGCAAGGCGCAU